GGACAGAAAGACCCUAUGAAGCUUGACUGUAGUUUAAAAUUGAAUUUGAGUUUUUUUCGCGCAGUCUAAGUGGGAGACAAACAAAAAAUUUUUUUGGAAAUUUUCGAGUCACAAUAUGAGAGACCACUCUUGAAAAACUAAAAUUCUAAUAAUACAUUCUUCAAUCAGAAUAUUAAACAGUUUUAGGUAGGCAGUUUUUUUGGGGCGAAAACCUCCCAAAAAGUAACGGAGGUGUGCAAAGGUUUCUUCAAACUGGACGGAAAUCAGUUAUAGAGUACAAAGAUAAAAAGAAGCUUAACUGUAAGACAGACACGUCAAACAGAGGCGAAAGCCGGUCUUAGUGAUCCGACGGUUCUAAGUGGAAAGGCCGUCGCUCAACGGAUAAAAGUUACUCUAGGGAUAACAGGCUGA
rnacentral:rRNA from 1 species